GGGAAGCUUACAGGGACCAAGAAGAACUGGUCUAGACAUCAUUAAAUAGCUAUAUUCAGAGGCAUGUAUUGCCAGGAAUGAUUAGUUCCGGGUUCUGAUACAUUUGGGAAGAAUUCCAACCUUUUCCCUUAAGCAUAAAAAUAUAAAUGUGUAUAUAUGUAUAUAUAGAUAUAUAGAUACAUGCAUAUAGUCAUUUGUAUUUUAGUUGGUUGUAUUAUUUAAUCAAACUUUAUGUUGAUAUGAUCGCUGAAAUUUCAAAGGAUAGCCUGAAUAGUGUGAAUAUGAAAGUUCCAGAAACAUUGAUUAAAGAUCCAUAUUGUUUUCAAAAUUAUAAGUCAUUUAAUAAUGAUCAUAAGAUUUACUGGACUUUUAAAUGUAUAUUUAAUUUUCCCAUAGUUAUCUAAAUGCAGGACCCUCAAAUUUAUCUUAUGGCAAGAGAUAAUUAAUCUUACAGAAAUGUUUGAAGAUAUUUAGCCUUUUAACGCUAAGAUACUUGUGUUCUGAUCAGCCCCCCUUGUAUCUGCUACUUGAAUUUGGCUAAUUUUUCAUUCAUUACAUAGGCAAAUGUUCUCAUGGUGUUUAAAAUCUUAUAAAUGAAGGGUGAGGAAUCUAAGCUACUAAACAAGACUAAACCGUCCUUAGCUUAGUACAUGCCACAUUUUAACCAACACAUUUCAUUUGAAAGUUUUCUUUCAAGAUAAUUUUUGUUUUCUUAAAUAGUAGUAGAGCAACUAGAGAAUGAAUUAAGAAAAUAUGAAGCUUAGACAAAAGAAAAUAUUAUCUGGUUACUUUCAUUCUUAUUUAAAAAUGCAUCAAGGAUACAUUUAUAAAAGGUUGUUUUACAUAUAACUUAAAGCCUGUUUAGCCAUUAGGAAUUUUAAGUAAACAGUUCAUCUUUUUGUUAAUUAUUACAGUGGUCUUGAGGGGUAGUAAGUUAAAUGUUUUUAUAUUUCUUUAACUUUAGGUUUAAAGUUUGGUACCACUCAGUCCAGCUUACUAGUUAGUAUCCUAAUGGAGCUCAGCAAAACUCUAGCACUGUUACAAUUUUGUGAUUUUGU
rnacentral:lncRNA from 1 species